rnacentral:lncRNA from 1 species
CAAGAGGAGGCUUGAUAUUAAAUCUCCACAUCGGAGAGAAACUAUGCUGAUGUCUCCCUUCUUCCUUGGGUUCUGUUCAGUGGCUCGACUACAAACACAAGGUCUGCAGAGAGUGUGAGAGGAGUGAGUUCCUCCGGGUGCUUCCUCUGGGCCCCACUGAGCUGUGAAACCAGGCUUCCACCUCAGUUACUGGGACUGUCACAUCUGGAAAGGACAAUGUCGGGAAGCAGGCACAGUCCCCCCCCCCCACUUGCUGGUGAUGGGCAUGUCAUAGGAAUGUGCACACAUAGCUUUUAUUUUAAGGAGGGAGAGUUUCAAGACAGGAGUCUCUCUCUCUGAAUCACUCUUCAAAGAUAUAUUUGAUAAUCUUUCUGGGAAAACAUAGAAUAGCAUUUCAAAUUUUCAAAAAGCCUUCUCCAUUUAGAUAAUCUUGCAUUUGCUAUCAUUCCUUAAAAUUAUCAUAUACAUUCACAUAUACACUGAUUCCCAAGUAUUUAAACAGCUAUUUUUCUUCAAACCUGCCUCACCCAUGGGUCCUGUCACCAAUAGUGCCUGAAGGCUGAUGUUCACCUUGCUCUUCCCCCACAUGGAGCACUUCGUCUUACACAUUUCCAUUAUCCUUACAAAGGGAUAUGAAUUAUUUGUGCAGAGUGCAGAUGGCUUAAGCCAUCAUUUCCCAAAAUGCAUUCCAACAAAGCAUACUUGCAUGGGAAUUCCAUGGGUGUUUUAAAAAUUGGGAUUCUACAGCCCAUAUGCCUAUUAAUAGAUGAGUGGAUUUAGACAAUGUGGUACAUAUGCACAAUGGAGUUUUACUUAUCCUCAAAGAAGAAUGAAAUCAUUGUAUUUGCUAGUAAAUGGCUGAAACUGGAGAAGAAUAUGCUAAGUGAAAUAAGGCAGACCCAGAAAACCAAGGGUGAAACGUUAUUUCUCACAUGUGAAAGCUAAUGCAAAAUAAAGGAAAGAAGGUGGGGAUUGGAUAUCAUGAAACUAUAGGGGAGAUCAGUGGAGUAAAG